rnacentral:rRNA from 1 species
UACGAAGGGGGCUAGCGUUGCUCGGAAUCACUGGGCGUAAAGCGCACGUAGGCGGAUUUUUAAGUCAGGGGUGAAAUCCUGGAGCUCAACUCCAGAACUGCCUUCGAUACUGAGAGUCUCGAGUCCGGGAGAGGUGAGUGGAACUGCGAGUGUAGAGGUGAAAUUCGUAGAUAUUCGCAAGAACACCAGUGGCGAAGGCGGCUCACUGGCCCGGUACUGACGCUGAGGUGCGAAAGCGUGGGGAGCAAACAGG